UCCUGGAGCGAUCAGCAGCAAUGAUCAAUGGGUCACCUGGCUCUUAUGUUGAUAAAUGAAUGUACACGGUACAGCAUGGAUGCACGCAGGUCCUGACCACAAUCCUACUCCUUAACUACUCUUCUCCAUAAUGAGUUACAGUGAUACAUUAAUUGUACAGAAGUUGUACUUCCUUGUACAGAAUGGAUUGCUUGAUACCAACCAACCAGUCUGGCUUCAAGAGGAACCACUCCACUGAGACAGCUCUACUAACUGUGGUUGACCAGUGAGUGUGCUUCAAUUACCUUGAUAUAAGUCUAAUGGCUGGAGACCUGUCUCCUGCAACAAAGAAAGGUGAUCUUCCAUUUUUCCAGUUCAGCACCAGCGUACCCUUUGGAGUGAAAAGGAAUACUCUAAUCUUUAUUAUGGCCACCCUGUGGCAACAGGCCUCUGCUAUAGAGAGCUGAAUUUACAGCCUGGUAGCAGUGAGCUUGUUAGAGAAAGGCCAGGUUUGGGGUCUGCAAGGGUUUUUAAAGGAAGGAAUUGACAUCUAUGACAUUGGUUUCUUGGGUGCACAUAAUGUCAUACAUUUUAAUUGACUACUGGAGCAAAGUUUUAUCCAUCAAGAUUGCAAGAUGUUGCGUUCUGGAUCUUUGUUUCAACUUGAAUGUUUAGAUGGUUUCUCAAAGCACUAUCUCUGAGGUGUCACUUUGUUUGCGAUUGAUCAUUUCCUCAGAUAUGGCACAGAGGCUGCAUUCUGGAGAGAGGCCCUGUGAAGGAGUUGACAUUAUGAGUGUCUGGUAGCAGCUUUCUAAGUAAAAAAGAUUUCUGUUCUAAGCAUAGCAGAAUGGAUAAGGCCAGUCUGUCCUACAGAGAACUCACAACACCUCCUGUCUGCUGGUGGUCACAAAGUCUAAGAAAUUGACAGGUGGGACUCUGCUCUGCCUAGUAUAGAAUGAGCAGCUGGGCAACUGCUUUGGAGAGACAGGUCAUUUAAAAGUAACAGAAAACUCAGAGGGGCAGGAAUGUCACCUGUCACUGACAUAAACAAGACCACUCAGAAUCUGGAAGUGAAUCCUGGCUUGACUGGAAGUGACUUGAGAAGUCAUUUAAAACCCUUCCCUUGAAAAAGCAUCUGAUUCUAAAGACCUUGUAAAAGUAAGUCUGCACAAGAGACUCAAAAUCAAUUACUUUGGAAUUAAAUUUUAUUUUUCUUUGCUUUAGACUAUGAUUUUGGCUUUCCAUUUUGCUUUUGGUCAACUAUAUAAUGAUCUCAUGAAGACAUAGCAACGACAGUUCUCUUGUCCAAACCUUAAAAAUAUCUGCACACCUGCCUGUCACAAAUUCAAAAUCUGUCCAACUAGAAAUGCCUUUUUGUCCAACUGGAACGUAAUUGGAGGAGGAUCAUUCUGAACAGAGUCAGGGGGUGAUUUUAACAUGUGCUCGACUUACAGGAGGAGAGGAGGCAAGGAGCGGAAGCACAUACACAUGAAGAAGUUAAUUAACAGAGUUAGUGUUUAAUGGCAGCAGAGGAGAAUAUCUAAUAUCUAAAACUUACCGGGACUGGAAAACAAGUUGAAGCCAAUGGAAAAAAAAAUAAAAUAAAAUCUGGUUGGAGUAAAUGCCAACAUCCUACUAGGAAAAGAAACCACUGGAGCAAAGUUAUUGUUUAGGAAAAAGACUAAACACAAGUGUCUCACAGCCAAACUGCUGAAUUCCAUGGCAAAAGCGACAUUUCUGAAGGCACUGAAGUUACUCAGAAGACAAAAAUAAAGAUGAAAUUGGCACAAAACACUAGUUUUAUCUGUUCUCUGCCUGCUGAGGACACAUUUAUAUGUUAUGUGCCCUGCGAUAUUUACAAUUUAGGUUUUCCUGCCAAGAGUACAGACAGCUUCACCUGCCAAAAAUGCAAAGUUAAUUUAGAGUUGGAUGUCUAGUCUGUCUGCAUCCUCUU